CCCGAGUGAUCGUUACUGCGUGAAGUGGAUCCGCUGGAGGGGACAGCGCACGGCCCUGGUGACCCAGAGCCAGAACGGGCCCUGCCCGCUCCUGGCCGUCAUCAACGUCCUCCUCCUGCGGGGCAAGGUGAAGCUGCCCCCGCAGAAGGAGGUGGUGACGGCCGAGGAGCUGAUGGCACAUUUGGGGAAUUGCAUCCUGGCCACCCAACCCCGGGACACCUCGGAGGGGCUGCAGCUGAACUUCCAGCAGCUCUCCACGGGGCUGGACGUCAACGUCAGGUUCACGGGGGUCUCAGAUUUCGAGUACACCCCCGAGUGCAUCGUCUUCGACCUCCUCGACAUCCCGCUCUACCACGGCUGGCUGGUGGACCCCCAGAGCCCGGAGCAGGUCCAGGCCGUGGGCAAGCUCAGCUACAACCAGCUGGUGGAGAAGAUCAUCACCGGCAAACACGCCAGCGACUCGGGCCUGGUGAGCGAAGCGCUGGUGGCGGAGCAGUUCCUGGAGGCCACGGCCUCGCAGCUGACCUUCCACGGGCUGUGCGAGCUGACGGCGCGCGCCCGCGAGGGCGAGCUCGGCGUCUUCUUCCGCAACAACCACUUCAGCACCGUGACCAAGCACGAGGGCCACCUUUACCUGCUGGUGACCGACCAGGGCUUCCUGCGCGAGGAGGCGGUGGUGUGGGAGAGCCUGCGCGGCGUGGAUGGGGACAGCUGCUUCUGCGACGCCGAGUUCCGCCUCAGCCGCCCCCUGGGCGAGGAGGGGACCGCCAUGGCCCCCCGGGGCCACCGGCGACAAGUGGAGCAGGAUUACCUGGUGGCCUUGUCGCUGCAGCAGGGACAGGGCCCCUGCUCCGUGCUCAGCGACCUGGAGCUGGCGCGGCAGCUGCAGCACGAGGAGUACCAGCAGCACCAUCCUCACCCUCCUCAUCCUCAUCCUGCUCCUCAGCUGCUGCCGGCGCAGGCGGGCGGGGAGCGGCGGCCGCGGCAGAGGCCGGAUUUGGACUGCACCCUCCUGUAGCACCUCGUGCCCCCCAGCCACAGCCCCCCCAGACCCCCCUCUGCAUCCUCCCGGGACAUCCUGGGGGUCCCUGUGGGGCUGGAGAUGGGGGUGACCAUCUGAGCCCCCCCAGACCCCCCUCUGCAUCCUCCAGGGACAUCCUGGGGGUCCCUGUGGGGCUGGAGAUGGGGGUGACCAUCUGAGCCCCCCGAGACCCCCCUCUGCAUCCUCCAGGGACAUCCUGGGGGUCCCUGCGGGUUGGAGAUGGGGGUGACCAUCUGAGCCCACCCCAGGAGCACCCCAAACUUCCCAGUGGCCUUAACGCAGGGGGGGUCUCACUCAGGGGGUCCCACACCUCAGCCCACGCCCCAGGACACGGGUGGGUGUGUGGGUGGGGGGCACAGGGACCCCCCCCCCCGCUCAAAAUGUGGCCUUAGCCCUUGGCAAGUAAAGGAUUUGUCCCCCUG